rnacentral:rRNA from 1 species
AGCGAACGCUGGCGGCAGGCCUAACACAUGCAAGUCGAACGAAGUCUUCGGACUUAGUGGCGGACGGGUGAGUAACACGUGGGAACGUGCCUUUAGGUUCGGAAUAACUCAGGGAAACUUGUGCUAAUACCGAAUGUGCCCUUCGGGGGAAAGAUUUAUCGCCUUUAGAGCGGCCCGCGUCUGAUUAGCUAGUUGGUGAGGUAAAAGCUCACCAAGGCGACGAUCAGUAGCUGGUCUGAGAGGAUGAUCAGCCACAUUGGGACUGAGACACGGCCCAAACUCCUACGGGAGGCAGCAGUGGGGAAUCUUGCGCAAUGGGCGAAAGCCUGACGCAGCCAUGCCGCGUGAAUGAUGAAGGUCUUAGGAUCGUAAAAUUCUUUCACCGGGGACGAUAAUGACGGUACCCGGAGAAGAAGCCCCGGCUAACUUCGUGCCAGCCGCCGCAGUAACAC